UACGAAGGGGGCUAGCGUUGCUCGGAAUCACUGGGCGUAAAGGGUGCGUAGGCGGGUUUUUAAGUCAGGGGUGAAAUCCUGGAGCUCAACUCCAGAACUGCCUUUGAGACUAGAGGACUUGGGUACGGGAGAGGUGAGUGGAAUUCCGAGUGUAGAGGUGAAAUUCGUAGAUAUUCGGAAGAACACCAGUGGCGAAGGCGGCUCACUGGCCCGUUACCGACGCUCAGGCGCGACAGCGUGGGGAGCAAACAGG
rnacentral:rRNA from 1 species